AAAUAAUUGGGUAUUGGUUUUACUGUUUAUCAAAAACAUAGUUUAUAAUUUUAUAGAUGAUUUCUGCUCAAUGAUUAAUAAAUAGCUGCAGUAAUCUGACCGUACUAAGGUAGCAUAAUCAUUAGUUUCUUAAUAAGAAACUGGAAUGAAGGAAUUUAAGGAUCAUUUAAUUUUCAAUAGUUUUUAGAAGUUAUAUUUAGAGUGAAAAUACUCUUUUGUAAGAAUUAGACGAUAAGACCCUAUAAAUUUUAAACUAAAGUUUUGUUUGGGGUAAAUAUAACUAUUAUAUAAUUGUUUGUGAGAAUUACUUUAGGGUUAACAGGGUAAUAACUAUAUUAAGAUCUUAUUAAUUUAGUUGUUUACUACCUCGAUGUUGGAUCAUUAUACUAAUAAAGUAGAGUUUAUUAAUUUUAGUCUGUUAGACUAUCAAAUUUUACGUGAUCUGAGUUUAGACCGAUGUGAAUUAGGUUAGAUUUUAUCUAUUUGAUUGAUAAUGUAGUACGAAAGGAAUGUUGAUUUUAUUAUUAAU
rnacentral:rRNA from 1 species